GACGAACGCUGGCGGCGCGCUUAACACAUGCAAGUCGAACGGAAAGGCCUGCUUUCCCUUGUGGAUUGCGGGUACUCGAGUGGCGAACGGGUGAGUAACACGUGAGUGAUCUGCCCCCAACUUGGGUAUAAGCCUGGGAAACUGGGUCUAAUUCCCGAUAGGACUGCAGGGUGGUGCCUGUGGUGGAAAACGAUUUUCUAGUGGUUGGGGAUGAGCUCGCGGCCUAUCAGCUUGUUGGUGGGGUAAUGGCCUACCAAGGCGGCGGCGGGUAGCCGGCCUGAGAGGGUGGACGGCCACAUUGGGACUGAGAUACGGCCCAGACUCCUACGGGAGGCAGCAGUGGGGAAUAUUGCACAAUGGGCGGAAGCCUGAUGCAGCGACGCCGCGGGGGGGAUGACGGCCUUCGGGUUGUAAACUCCUUUCGACCGCGAGGAAGCCACCUGGUUGGAAGGGUGGUGACGGUAGUGGUAGAAGAAGCACCGGCUAACUACGUG
rnacentral:rRNA from 1 species